UGCUAUCGGGAUAGGACUAAGACAUGCUAGUUGAGCGCUUCCAGCCAAAACGGGAGCGCAGCGCACAGCUCAGUAACACGUGGCUAAUCUGCCCUUGGGACCGGAACACCCCCGGGAAACUGGGGCUAAUUCUCGAUAGGUGAAGAACUCUGGAAUGAGUCUUUGCCAAAAAGACGUUUACGUUAUGCUCGUAGGCGUCGCCCGAGGAUGAGGCCGCGACCGAUCAGGUUGUUGGUGAGGUAAUGGCUCACCAAGCCUUUUACCGGUGCGGGCCGUGAGAGCGGGAGCCCGGAGAUGGGCACUGAGACAAGGGCCCAGGCCCUACGGGGCGCAGCAGUCGCGAAAACUUUGCAAUACACGAAAGUGUGACAGGGCUAUCCCGAGUGCCAUCCGCUGAGGAAGGCUUUUACCCAGUCUAGAACGCUGGGGGAAUAAGGAGAGGGCAAGUCUGGUGUCAGCCGCCGCGGUAAUACCAGCUCUCCGAGUGGUGUGGAUGUUUAUUGGGCCUAAAGCAUCCGUAGCUGGCUGAGUUAGUCCCUUGUUAAAUCCACCGAAUUAAUCGUUGGAUUGCGGGGGAUACUGCUCGGCUAGGGGACGAGAGAGGCAGACGGUAUUUCUGGGGUAGGGGUGAAAUCCUAUAAUCCCAGGAGGACCACCAGUGGCGAAAGCUGUCUGCUAGAACGCGCCCGACGGUGAGGGAUGAAAGCUGGGGGAGCGAACCGGAUUAGAUACCCGGGUAGUCCCAGCUGUAAACGAUGCA
rnacentral:rRNA from 1 species